rnacentral:rRNA from 1 species
GAUCAUGGCUCAGGAUGAACGCUAGCUACAGGCUUAACACAUGCAAGUCGAGGGGCAGCAUAGUGUUCUAGCAAUAGAAUACGGAUGGCGACCGGCGCACGGGUGAGUAACACGUAUCCAACCUGGCUGUUAUUCGGGAAUAGCCUUGCGAAAGUAAGAUUAACGCCCGAUGUAUACGUCGNAGUGGUAUUUAAAUUAAA